UACAGAGGAGCCAAGCGUUGUCCGGAUUCACUGGGCGUAAAGCGCGCGCAGGCGGUCUUCUACGUCUGGGGUGAAAACCCGGGGCUCAACCCCGGGACUGCCUUGGAUACGGGAAGACUUGAGGAUCGGAGAGGCAAGGGGAAUUCCACGUGUAGCGGUGAAAUGCGUAGAGAUGUGGAGGAACACCUGUGGCGAAGGCGCCUUGCUGGCCGAUUUCUGACGCUGAGGCGCGAAAGCGUGGGGAGCAAACAGG
rnacentral:rRNA from 1 species